rnacentral:rRNA from 1 species
UACGGAGGGUGCAAGCGUUAUCCGGAUUCACUGGGUUUAAAGAGUGCGUAGGCGGGUUGGUAAGUCCGUGGUGAAAUCUCCGAGCUUAACUCGGAAACUGCCGUGGAUACUAUCAAUCUUGAAUAUCGUGGAGGUAAGCGGAAUAUGUCAUGUAGCGGUGAAAUGCUUAGAUAUGACAUAGAACACCAAUUGCGUAGGCAGCUUACUACACGAUCAUUGACGCUGAGGCACGAAAGCGUGGGGAGCAAACAGG